AGUCACUGACAUUAGAUACCCGGGUAGUCCCAGCCGUAAACAAUGUGCGUUAGGUGUGUCGGUAACCACGCGUUACUGAUGCGCCGAAGAGAAAUCGUGAAACGCACCACCUGGGAAGUACGGUCGCAGGGCUGAAACUUAAAGGAAUUGGCGGGGAGCACCACAACAGGUGGAGCCUGCGGUUUAAUUGGAUUCAACGCCGGACAUCUCACCGGAUAAGACAGCUGAAUGAUUGUCAAUCUGAAGGUUUUACAUGACUAGCUG
rnacentral:rRNA from 1 species